rnacentral:lncRNA from 10 species
UUGUGAAAUUUUUUUCUAAGCUCCUAAGAUCUCAUCUCCCAUGUCAAAGUUGAAAUUCUCUCCGGGAGACAGUCAUGCCUCGCUGCCUUCCAGUGACCAGGAUGAAAGAUGCACCCAUGAAUUAUAUAUUUCAAGUCAUCUCUAAAUUGCCUGGCAAUUACAGAACAGCAAGGUCAGCUGCCGGGAGCAAGAAUCUCCCUUUUGGCAGAGAAAAACAGAUGGAUGGAAACACAACGAUAUACAGAAAGAUGUUACCUCUUGGAGGGGGGGUGUUUUUCAGAUGCUGGUCACCAUAGAUGCUGGUCACCACCAUGCCCUUUCAUAAGUGUCCUUACAAAAGGAGGAAAUCAGGACAGAUACAUCCAGAGGGAAGACGCUAUGAAGACACAGAGAAGAGGGCCAUCUAUGCCAAGGAGAGGGGUAGGAAGCAAAUUCUUCCCACACACACCUCGGAGGAACCAACCCUGCUGACACCUUAAUUUUGGACUUCCAGCUUC